rnacentral:hammerhead_ribozyme from 1 species
AUCCAGUUGACGCGACCCAAAAUAGGACGAAACGUGCGUCAAGCUGGAU